rnacentral:rRNA from 1 species
AGCAGCCGCGGUAAUUCCAGCUCCAAUAGCGUAUAUUAAAGUUGUUGCAGUUAAAAAGCUCGUAGUUGAAUUUCGGGGUUAGUAGGUUGGUCAUGCCUCUGGUAUGUACUGGUCUCACUGAUUCCUCCUUCCUGAUGAGCCGUAAUGCCAUUAAUUUGGUGUUGCGGGGAAUUUGGACUGUUACUUUGAAAAAUUAGAGUGUUUAAAGCAAGCUAACGCUUGAAUACAUUAGCAUGGAAUAAUGAAAUAGGACGUUCGAUCCUAUUUUGUUGGUUUCUAGGAUUGACGUAAUGAUUAAUAGGGAUAGUUGGGGGCAUUAGUAUUCAAUUGUCAGAGGUGAAAUUCUUGGAUUUAUUGAAGACUAACUACUGCGAAAGCAUUUGCCAAGGAUGUUUUCAUUAAUCAAGAACGAAAGUUAGGGGAUCGAAGACGAUCAGAUACCGUCGUAGUCUUAACCAUAAACUAUGCCGACUAGGGAUCGGAUGAUGU